CAGUAGCCACGGUAAUACGGAGGGAGCUAGCGUUGUUCGGAAUUACUGGGCGUAAAGCGCACGUAGGCGGCUUUGUAAGUUAGAGGUGAAAGCCUGGAGCCCAACUCCAGAAUUGCCUUUAAGACUGCAUCGCUUGAAUCCGGGAGAGGUGAGUGGAAUUCCGAGUGUAGAGGUGAAAUUCGUAGAUAUUCGGAAGAACACCAGUGGCGAAGGCGGCUCACUGGACCGGCAUUGACGCUGAGGUGCGAAAGCGUGGGGAGCAAACAGGAUUAGAUACCCCCGUAGUCCCUGUCUCUUAUAC
rnacentral:rRNA from 1 species